UGGGGAAUUUUGCACAAUGGGGGAAACCCUGAUGCAGCGACGCCGCGGGAUGUAGAGGCCCUUCGGGGUGUAAAACUCUUUUCAAUGGGAAGAAAAUGACAGUACCAUAGGAAUAAGGACCGGCUAAUUACGUGCCAGCAGCCGCGGUAAUACGUAAGGUCCGAGCGUUGUCCGGAAUCAUUGGGCGGAAAGGGUACGUAUGCGGGUAAGCAAGUUAGAAGUGAGAUCCUAUAGCUCCACUAUAGUAAGCUUUCAAAACUGCUCAUCUUGGAGUAUGGGAGGGAAAGGGGAAUUCCUAGGGUAGCGGUGAAAUGCGCAGAUAAUAGGAGGAAUACCGGUGGCGAAGGCGACUUUCUGGCCAUAACCUGACGAUGAGGUACGAAAGCGUGGGUAGCAAACAAG
rnacentral:rRNA from 1 species